rnacentral:rRNA from 1 species
ACGCUUGAAGUCAGUCGCGUCAUCCAGGGAUCAACCUUGCUUUUGCUUGGUGCACUUUCUGGUUUGAUGGGUCAGCAUCAAUUUCGACCAUUGGAAAAAGGCUCUAGGGAAUGUGGCAUCUUUGGAUGUGUUAUAGCCCUUGGUCAUAUGCAAUGAUUGGGAUUGAGGAACUCAGCACGCCGCAAGGCCGGGUUUUUAACCACGUACGUGCUUAGGAUGCUGGCAAAAUGGCUUUAAUCGACCCGUCUUGAAACACGGACCAAGGAGUC